UGCGCAGGCGGACUAAUAAGUCAGUGGUGAAAUCUCUCGGCUCAACCGAGAAACUGCCAUUGAAACUGUUAGUCUUGAGUACAGUUGUAGUGGGCGGAAUUUAGCAUGUAGCGGUGAAAUGCUUAGAUAUGCUAUAGAACACCGAUCGCGAAGGCAGCUCACUAAGCUGUAACUGACGCUCAGGCACGAAAGCGUGGGGAGCAAACAGGAUUAGAUACCCUGGUAGUCC
rnacentral:rRNA from 1 species